rnacentral:rRNA from 1 species
UACGUAGGGGGCUAGCGUUGUCCGGAAUCAUUGGGCGUAAAGAGCGUGUAGGCGGUCCGGUAAGUCCGUUGUGAAAGUCAAGGGCUCAACCCUUGAAUGCCGGCGGAUACUGUCGGGCUCGAGUACGGAAGAGGCGAGUGGAAUUCCUGGUGUAGCGGUGAAAUGCGCAGACAUCAGGAGGAACACCAAUUGCGAAGGCAGCUCGCUGGGACGUUACUGACGCUGAGACGCGAAAGCGUGGGGAGCAAACAGG